UCCCCUUCGUCUAGAGGCCUAGGACACCGCCCUUUCACGGCGGUAACAGGGGUUCGAAUCCCCUAGGGGACG
rnacentral:tRNA from 1 species